rnacentral:lncRNA from 1 species
CUGAGCAGAGGGGGGCGGAGCCAGCAGGGGGUCCCAGCUGAAGGGAGGUGGGUGCUUUUCUUUCUUGACCUCACAGAUCCAGGAUUUGGGGUGGUGUGGAGAAUGUACCACGACUUUUUGUCAUGCACGCAUGGUGAUGCUACCAUGCCCUAUUUUGAUCAUGAACAGAGGGAGGCCUCAAACUGGCAGAAAAGGGACCGUGGCUCCCGGAGAGAAAGCAGCCGCAGAUGUGAAACUAUGAAGGGUUCACACAUAUUUAUGUUGGAGUGCAAAGGCUUCCGAUGCCCGGACAUGUGUCCUCCAAUCUGAGAAGGGAACCAGGGAAGGGGCUGGAGUUGAUGCAUCUUGACUUAAGGGCUGGAGAGUUGGCAAUUUUGGAGGCCAGUGAAGAGCCACGUAGAAAAUGUCCCGCUGCCUGCCAUCACCAGCAGCUCCUUUUGCUCCCAACCUGCAGAGAGGGCUCCCACACAGAUAGCAGACACAGGGACCUCUUUAAAAUGAAGAUGAAAUGCACCUGGUUCUACCACCUAGUUAGAAGCAGUUAUGAAGGUUGAAGAGCUGUUAUCUGAGAUUUAUAGCCCCAAAUCUGCGAGAUAGACUCUCCUAAUUAAUAAGACAAGGAAGACUAGAAAGUUGUGAAAACUACCUGGCAGGGCUUGGAGCCUACUGUCACCACCACGAUGAUAGCACUGUCUUUGCUGCUGAGCCUAUUAGAAUGUCAGGAUGUGCAUUCUUCUCUCCUAGUGGGAUGGCACGGUUCACCUGGCUAUUACAGAGAAGCAAGUGCAGAUCGUGACUUAAGGCUCCGGGAGGAGAGUUAAUCAGGGAAGAGCUGGUUGACAAGACUCACUGAGUGCAUGACUUGAGAGCACCAAGAGGGGGAAAGGGAGAAGAAAGAACCUCUUCCAAAGGCAGCAUCCACCCCCUUGACAAAGGGCCAUUUCCCCCAGCCCGGGGUGCUUUCUGACUUCCUUUGUUCCCCAAUGAGCGUUUUCUUCCUUGUCCCCAGCCUUCACAUAAGUUCAAUUCAACAUCCUCUCUCUCUUCUCCCAAUGUCCUCUCCUUAAUUUUGCUGCAUCCUCCAAUGUGAAUGUUUGCCUCCUGGUCUGGGAUCUGUCUUAUUCCCUUUAUCUCACCUGAAAAAGCUUUCCCCUUUAAUCUCUGCUCAUUCAAGUCCUGCCCAUCCUUCAAAGUAUGGCCAAGCUCACCUCUUCCAGAAAGCCCCACCCUGUGGUGUUAUCUCCAUCCUGAAUCACAGCAGCACUUACUGUGAGAUAACUAUCAGGUUACAUCUAACAGAGUUCACUGCACUCUCCCCAAAUGAAGUGGACACUUGUUGGCAGUAAGAAGAGAAGCUUUUUGCACCCAGUGGUGCUUUCAAUGCAAUGCAAGGAGACUGUGACGAUACUGAAAUGAGUAUUACCCGGCCCCAGGAGAUGAACACCGUCCUUGCUUGAUGCCAGUUCAUAAAGAGAGCUCUUGUUUAUUGAGAGCUUAUGAGUGCUGAGGAAUUCACAUAAAUCAUCUCAUCUAAAUUUUCCAACAAUCAUGAGAUGGUUUCUCUUAUUUCCUCCUUUUACGCAUGAAGAAACUGGGGCUCAGGAGGUUAGAUGACUUGCUCAGAGUCACACAGAUAGUACAGGGCUGACCCAGAAUUCAAGCCCAGGUCUGGCAGACUCCAGCACCCGCCCUUUGCCUCCACGACCAAGUACAAGCAGCAGGCUGGCACUGGCCUUUCCCUGCUAUGACUGCCGAGCUGGGUUACACCUGCUGCUGGUCCCCAGCACCAGGCACACGACGCAACUGUGAGUCCUCCGGAGUAUGUGAGGGAGCUGGCACUCACCUUCUGCCUGAAGCAAAGGAGCUGUGCUCUUCCGUUUCAGUGUGAAAAAGCCUCAGAAGAUGCCCAGCUUAGAAGGACACAGGAGACAGUCUGUGGAUAUCGUCUCCACUUCCUGGCAUCCUCAGCACUGUUGCUAGUGAAGCUACUCUGCCCAAGGUCUCCAGUGAGCUUCUGAAAGAAGUCAAGACUCAUGCAUGCAGAUGAAUACGCCUCGUGGGUAUUCACCAGGUCCUCCUGGGAAGCCAGCUCUGUGUCCCAGGCACACCGUCUGUGUGCAAGAGAAGGGGAGCACCUGAGUUUGGGAAUUGCUUUCAUACCAGCUUAUAGGCCACCCCAAGAACCGGCCUCCUGGCUUCAUAGUCACAGACUGCCUGCAGGGUUGACUUAUGCAUCCUUUUGCAGGAGACAGGCUCACUUCUCUCCUGUGACUAACAUGGAAUUACGGGUUAAGGAGGGAAGUCGUACUCACCUGUUGAUUCAUUUAUUCACUCACUUGCUCACUCAUCAAUCAUUUCUUCAACAAUGAAACCCUUACUAGACAAAUACUGACUCCCUGCUCCAGAAUAACUAUCUGUUUGGUGCUAGGACUGUCAAAUGAGUAAGCGUUUCUUCCCACAGGCGUUCAGGGUCUAUUUCUGCACUUUACAGACAGGGAAGACAGAAGUGAUCAGAAGCGGCCACCAACCAUGGAGUCCAGAAACACGGCACAGUUCUGGAAGAGGCGAAAGGCAGCUCUUCCAUCCAUGCUGGUCAAGAGGAAAUUCAACACACCUCACAGCCAUUGAAUCUGACCAGGCGUGUAAUACAUCCCAUCGUCUUGUCAGUUAGCAGCUGUGGGACCUUGAAGGCUUCUUAAAUUCCCCAAGUCUAGACUUUCUUAUCUUUAAAAUGCAGCUGAAAACAAUGCCUGUCUCAUGGAGGUGUAAGGGUUAAAUGGAAUCAUGUAGAAAGCAUUCAGCACAUGUCAAGCCCAGGUCAAGGCCAACAUGCAGGGGCAGGGAGAGGUGUAACCUCUUUCAGUUUGGAGCCACGCAGGACCCUGCCAUUUGCAGCCCUUUGGGGUAUGACUGUAGCCCCCACACAUCCUGCUGCCCCAGAGUAGUGGACCAGCAGGUGCACUGAGAGCUCUGGUGCACCUGGCAUGCCCCCACUCCUCACACAGCAGCAACAGGGACAGUGACAGGGACCUGAGAUGGGGUGGCCCACCUGGCUGGCAGCUGGCACUGGGCACAUUGCCCAGAAGGUGGGGAGUUCUCAGGUAGGGGCAGAGGUGGGUGUUUGAGGGAGCAGUUAGCAGCACUGUCUGCUGUGGCAGGGGUCUCCUGGGUAAGGUCAGAGGGAUUCGAGGAGGCCCAGGGAUCACCCCAGGGUGGGGUGGGACACUGCUCAAGUCAGAAAGCAAAGUUGCAGGGUGUAGGGGAGGGGAUGGGACUGUUAGUCUAAUUGUGACUCAUCUCUCCUUAUUUUUCUCCUUAUCUCUUGUAUUUAUUUUUUUUAAUCCUCCCAAGUUACUGGGCCUUGAGGACACUCCUAGUGUGUGUGUGUGUGUGUGUGUGUGUGUGUGUGUGUGUGUGUGUAUUUCUACAUAUAUAAUUUUUCUUUUUUUUGAGACAGAGUUUCGCUCUUGUUGCUCAGGUGGAAGUGCAAUGGUGCGAUCUCAACUCACUGCAACCUGCAUCUCCUGGGUUCAAGCGAUUCUCCUGCCUCAGCCUCCCGAGUAGCUAGGAUUACAGGUGUCUGCCACCAUGCCCAGUUAAUUUUUGUAAUUUUAGUAGAGAUGGCGUUUCACCAUGUUGGCCAGGCUGGUCUCAAACUCCUGUCCUCAGGUGAUCCGCCCACCUCGGC